UAAUAUUAAAAAUCCUAUUAUAAAAUAAGGAAUCAGAGAAUUGUGGAGACAGGAAAGACAAUGUGUUCAUCUUGUGCGUCCCCAUACCAACACAGGGUUGCUCCCUCUUACGCACCUGUCUUAUCUAAAUAGUUAUGCAGCAGUCAGCUGAGUUUCAUGUAUUGCUUGGGAGGAAACCAUUCCAUUCUAAGAACAGUAAAACUAUUCUGAUUUUUGUCAUUUUCUCUGUUUUGAUAAGUCACUUAUAUUAAUCCCAUUGUCAUCGCAAGUACUUCCUCAUAUUCCUCUUAAUUAUAUUUUUCUCUUUGGUUCCUGAACCAUAGGUGUAUGUGUGUAUUGUAACAGCCUGCGCUUGGUGCUGAAUGGACUGCAUGAACCUAUGAGGCUUGGGAGGAAAUGAAAAAUAACAGUUCAAAUUUUAUCGGGACAUUCAGCUGCAGUUUUUAUUGCACAGAUUUAAUCACCCAGGAAGCCCUGAAUGAAAGUGUUGAGCUGUAUGUCUACAUAUGGGUUAACAGCUUAAUGGUGUGUAGUCAAGAUCCUGCAGAAUCUUUUAGACACUAGCUCCACAGGGUUAUAAAAAGAAGAAAAUCAAGAACUGAUGAACUUUUGCAUUACAGAAACGUUGCCCUUGGAAGUUUUCCCAAGGAUUUAUUUCAAGGGACUGAAGGCAAUGUUAAAGAAAAUGAAUUCCUACUAAGUCAUGAUGACAGAAUUAGAAUUUUGUUCCUGAAAAAAAAGAGAGACUUGAAUGAUAUCAGGAAUUUGCACAAGGCAUUUCUCUGCUCUCCAUAAAAUAAGUAAUUUGACUUGGAGAUCUAGUAAAGCCUAAGAAAGGAGUAAUUUGCUCCACUUUUCUCCAUGCCCUAUUGCAUUUUCACUUCAGAGGUUUUGUUUUAAUAUAAGGGUUUCUACAACACUAUACAUUUAUUGUUUUAAUAGUUAUUUGAUUAUGUCAGAUCAAGAGAAAUGACUCUUUAUUACAUUAGUAAUGUAAUACUCUUCAGAAUGUGUUAAAAGGGAAACUUAUAUUGAACUGAAAUACAUUUAAUAGCAAUGUUUGAGCAAACCGGAGCAGUUACAUCGCUGGCCAUGUUGGGACAAUUAACAGAUUGAUAUUUUUAUUGAUGUUUUUUGAAUGUUAAUGAAUUUUGAAAGAUUUUAUUUUCUAGGACAUUAAUACCUGAAUGGUUUAGAGGUACAAUCUGACAGACACAGGCAAUUUUUCCAUGGUGCAGAAAGAAUAAGAGCAGUACCAGCAGUAUCUAUAACCCACUAAGCCUUCAAUAAAAUAGAAAGACCUGUCUACGUUAUGGUAUAU
rnacentral:lncRNA from 1 species